UCCUACGGGAGGCAGCAGUGGGGAAUAUUGGACAAUGGGGGCAACCCUGAUCCAGCAAUGCCGCGUGAGUGAGGAAGGCCUUCGGGUUGUAAAGCUCUUUCGGCGGGGACGAUGAUGACGGUACCCGCAGAAGAAGCCCCGGCUAACUUCGUGCCAGCAGCCGCGGUA
rnacentral:rRNA from 1 species